rnacentral:rRNA from 1 species
UACAGAGGUCUCAAGCGUUUGUUCGGAUUCAUUGGGCGUAAAGGGUGCGCAGGCGGCGAGGCAAGUCGGACGUGAAAUCCCGGGGCUUAACCCCGGACUGCGUUCGAUACUGCUUUGCUUGAGGACUGGAGAGGAGACUGGAAUUCCUGGUGUAGCAGUGAAAUGCGCAGAUAUCAGGAAGAACACCCGUGGCGAAAGCGGCUCUCUGGGACGGUACUGACGCUGAGACGCGAAAGCGUGGGGAGCGAACAGG